rnacentral:rRNA from 1 species
CCUACGGGGGGCAGCAGUGGGGAAUAUUGCGCAAUGGGCGAAAGCCUGACGCAGCGACGCCGCGUGAGGGAUGAAGGUCUUCGGAUCGUAAACCUCUGUCAGCAGGGAAGAACGGUCACUGUGCUAAUCAGCAGUGAAUUGACGGUACCUGCAAAGGAAGCACCGGCUAACUCCGUGCCAGCAGCCGCGGUAAUACGGAGGGUGCGAGCGUUAAUCGGAAUUACUGGGCGUAAAGCGCUCGUAGGCGGUAUGUCAAGUCAAGGGUGAAAUCCCCGCGCUCAACGGGGGAACUGCCUUUGAAACUGGCAAACUGGAGUGUGUGAGAGGAUAGUGGAAUUCCAGGUGUAGGAGUGAAAUGCGUAGAUAUCUGGAGGAACAUCAGUGGCGAAGGCGACUAUCUGGCACAUAACUGACGCUGAGGAGCGAAAGCGUGGGUAGCAAACAGGAUUAGAUACCCCAGUAGUC